AUAAAAUUAUUAUUUUAUUUUAGUUAAUAUUUUUGUUAUUAUUUUAUUUUACAUGUAAAUUUUUGUAUGAAUUAAAUUAAUUUUUAAAAAAUUAAAUUUAUAAAUAUUUAUUCGCAGUAAUUAAUAUUAAUUAAAAAAGAAAUUUUGUAUUAGUAAUAAUAUAUAGUAUUGGUAAAAUUUGUGCCAGCUACCGCGGUUAUACAAAUAAUACAAAUAAAAAUUUUUAGUAUUAGUUAAAUGAUUAAAUUUAUAAUAUAAAUUUAAAUUUAUUAGGUGAAAUUUUUAAAUUUAUUUAUUUAUUAUUAUUAUUAAAAAUAAUUUAAGCUAUAAACUUUUUAUAAUAAACUAGGAUUAGAUACCCUAUUAUUAAAAAUAAAUAUUUAAAUGCUAAAGUAGUAUUAGUUAUAUUCUUAAAAUUUAAAAAAUUUGGCGGUGUUUUAGUCUAUUUAGAGGAAUCUGUUCUGUAAUUGAUAAUUCACAUUGAACCUUACUUAAAUUUGUUUAAUUUGUAUAUCGCCGUCAUCAGAAUAUGUUAUAAGAUAAAAAUUUUCUAAAAAUUUAAUUUAAUAAAAUGUCAGGUCAAGGUGCAGUUUAUAUUUAAGUAGAAAUGGAUUACAAUAAUUUUAUUUAAAUGGAUAAUUUUUUGAAAUAAAGAUUUGAAGGUGGAUUUAAUAGUAAUAUAAAAGAGAUUAUUUAUAUGAUUUUAGCUCUAAAACAUGUACAUAUCGCCCAUCGUUCUUAUUUUUAAAAUAAGAUAAGUUGUAACAUAGUAGAUGUACUGGAAAGUGUAUCUAGAAAGA
rnacentral:ncRNA from 1 species